GACUUGCAACACAAUGGAGAACCAACUAUACAGAAGACCAACCUUCAGUGAACUGGCUUGAUACUUGACGGAGUGAUCCCAGUGAUGAAGCCCAACAAUCGACAUACUCCAAUGGUGGUGUCUCAGAGUCCAGCUCCAUUGCUACUGCAUAAUG